rnacentral:snoRNA from 1 species
UUCGUUAGUAGGAUAUUUAUAUCCCUAUGGAACAGAGUAACUCCAUCGACGGAUUGUAUAACAAAGCAGCACAGACUUUGAAUUCUCAUUCGCAAGGGUGAUCGAGUUCGGUCAGCGUGUUGCGGCGGUAUAUUCCUAAACCUUCGAACUGGUCGUUGACCGAUGGUCGUUGGGUAAAACCAUACUGCAAACAUUU